rnacentral:rRNA from 1 species
GCAAGAUACCACGGGCGCACGGCGGAUGCCUUGGCACAGGGAGCCGAUGAAGGACGCGGCAAGCUGCGAUAAUCCCCGGCGAGGAGCACACAUCCUUCGACCCGGGGGUCUCCGAAUGGGCGAACCCAUGCACAGCAGUGUGCAUAUCCCCGGCCCGAACACAUAGGGCCGGGGAGGACAACCCGGGGAACUGAAACAUCUAAGUACCCGGAGGAGAGGAAAUCAAUCUCGAGACUCCCCGAGUAGCGGCGAGCGAAAGGGGACCGAUGGCCAAACCGUCGAGCGGGCAUACCCGGCAGGGGUUCCGCCGACGGGGUUGAAGGGCCGCGCAUCCGGGGGCUGCCGCCCCCGGGCGCAGGUCCGGCUGGGGAGCGGAACGGCAUGGGAGGGCCGGCCGCAGCGGGUGACAGCCCCGUACGCGAACCCAGACCGGACGGCGCGACGCGGUCCCUGAGUAGGGCCGGGCACGUGAAACCCGGUCCGAACCUGGGUGGACCACCAUCCAAGCCUGAGUACUACCCUGUGACCGAUAGCGCACCAGUACCGUGAGGGAAAGGUGAAAAGCACCCCGGGAGGGGAGUGAAACAGUACCUGAAACCGUGCGCCCACGAGCAGUCGGAGCACCUUUAUGGUGUGACGGCGUGCCUUUUGUAGAAUGAGCCAGCGAGUCGCUGGCGCGGGGCGAGGUUAACCGAAAGGGAGCCGGAGCGAAAGCGAGCCUUAACAGGGCGACUUGAGUCCCGCGCCGCGGACGCGAAGCCGGGUGAGCUAUCCGUGGGCAGGCUGAAGCGGGGGUAAGACCCCGUGGAGGGCCGAACGCACGUCGGUUGAAAACGGCGGCGAUGACCUGCGGAUAGGGGUGAAAGGCCAAUCAAACCCGGAGAUAUCUCGUUCUCCCCGAAAUAGCUUUAGGGCUAGCGUCGCGCGUUCACCGCCGGAGGUAGAGCACCGGAUGGACGAGGGGGCUUCGCCGCCUACCGAAUCCAACCGAACUCCGAAUGCCGGCGGCCCAGAGCGCGGCAGUCAGAGCAUGUGGGCUAAGCUGUGUGCUCGAGAGGGAAACAGCCCGGACCGCCCGCUAAGGUCCCCAAGUUCCAGCCGAGUGGCAAAGGAUGUGCGUCCGCCCAGACAACCAGGAUGUUGGCUUAGAAGCAGCCAUCCAUUCAAAGAGUGCGUAACAGCUCACUGGUCGAGUGGACAUGCGCCGACAAUACACGGGGCUAAGCUGGACACCGAAGCGGCGGGAUUUUGAUUUACAGAAUCGGUAGGGGAGCUUCCCAUGGGCGGCGAAGCCGGAGGGCGACCGACGGUGGAGCGCAUGGGAGUGAGAAUGCUGGCAUGAGUAGCGAGAGACGAGAGAGUAACUCGUCCGCCGUGAACCCGAGGUUUCCUGGGCAAGGCUAAUCCUCCCAGGGUCAGUCGGGGGCUAAGGCGAGGCCGGGAGGCGUAGCCGACGCGCAGCAGGCAGACAUUCCUGCACCGCGCACGCGGCGCUACGACCGACGGGGCGACGGAUGGGGGUGGCUCGGCGGGGUUCUGGACGUCCCCGUGAUGGAGCGCGGCCCGCGGACCAGGGAAAUCCGGUCCGCAGAAGGGCGAGGCUCCGGACGAAGCACUUAAGCGAAGCGAGUGAGCCCGAGGUCCCUAGAAAAACCCCUAGGCAGGCGCGUGCGCGCCCGUACCGCAAACCGACACAGGUGGGUGGGUAGAACAUACCGAGGCGAUCGGGUCAACCAUGGUCAAGGAACUCGGCACAAUGGCCCCGUAACUUCGGGAGAAGGGGUGCCCGCGCGUACGUGAACCGGCUUGCCCGGGGAGCGGAGGCGGGCCGCAGUGGAGAGGCCCAAGCGACUGUUUACCAAAAACACAGGACUCUGCAGAAGCCGCAAGGCGACGUAUAGGGUCUGACGCCUGCCCGGUGCCGGAAGGUCACGCGGAGGAGUUAGCCGAUUCGGCGAAGCCCCGAAGCCAAGCCCCGGUAAACGGCGGCCGUAACUAUAACGGUCCUAAGGUAGCGAAAUUCCUUGUCGGGU